rnacentral:misc_RNA from 1 species
UUUAUAGGAAAUUAAACCUGUUUUACUGAUGUCUAGGGCUUUUGUUGAGUUUUGACAAAGAAGGUUCUAGAGCGUCGGUUGGAAUGAGAAAGCAGACAGGGAGAGAAUCGGGAUUCCGGAGAGCUCGGGAAAAUUUGGGCUGUAAGAGCUUGCGGGCUUUAAUGAACUUAGGACCCUCUAGAACCCAAGAAGAUGGAUUUGGGCUUCUACUUUAAUGACCGAGGUGGACUUGUUGCCGUUAGUUGCCAAUGGGUUAAAGAGUUGGGGAAAUGUCUUUCCUCACAAGUCUCGUAUUUUCGAGGAUGAUCCAAGGACGGUCCAGCGAAGAACUCGUAAAAUUGCCUGUUUCAUACAAUUUUAAAGAGAAGAAGCCAAAUUAGAUUCUCAAAUGUCCAUUUCAUUGAUAUCAAUGUAAUGCAACAACUAUACGAACGAAGUUCGAGUUAGUUGUAAGGAAAUUCGAACCCUCAG